rnacentral:rRNA from 1 species
GACGAACGCUGGCGGUGUGCUUAACGCAUGCAAGUGGUGCGACGAACCAGAGCUUGCUCUGGGGCAAAGCCGCGAACGGGUGAGUAACACGUGGGUAAUCUACCCCGAUGACCGGGACAACCCGAGGAAACUCGGGCUAAUACCGGAUGUGGUGCGGAGACAUAAGUCUCUUCACUAAAGGUAGCUUCGGCUUCCGCAUUGGGAGGGGCCCGCGGCCCAUUAGCUUGUUGGUGGGGUCAAGGCCUACCAAGGCAACGAUGGGUAGCUGGUCUGAGAGGACGAUCAGCCACACUGGGACUGAGACACGGCCCAGACUCCUACGGGAGGCAGCAGUGGGGAAUCUUGCGCAAUGCGCGAAAGCGUGACGCAGCAACACCGCGUGAGGGAAGAAGGCCUUAGGGUUGUAAACCUCUUUCAGAUGGGACGAAGGUGCUCCGGUGAAUAGCCGAGAGGAUUGACGGUACCGUCAGAAGAAGCUCCGGCUAACUACGUG